CAUGAGGACAGCCUACACUGCCAGACCCCGAUUGGCAGCGUGGUACAGUAGGCGGGUCGCACAUGCUAUGCCACUCUAACAGUUAAAUGCCCUCCUACUGUAGAACGGCAUAGCACGCCCCAAUGUAGUGAAUGAUUUCAGGACCAAUAAUAUUGCAGUCCUGGUAAGUUAACUUUAGGUGACACCAACCCACAGAAAACUGUAUUUAAAAAAUGAGUCCCACAAAACCUAAAGAUGACAGAGGUUAUGAUAUAGGGAGAACUAUAGCUAUGUGAAAUUUAAGUGUAUACAGAAUUGAGAACUUUAUAAAGCAAAUACCUAAAAAUAUAAGUAAUGUGCUAAGUGAAAUGAUCAUUCACUAUAAUAGUCAGAAGUGCUCAAUAUAUAGAGAAUAUAUACAGAGG